UACGGAGGGUGCAAGCGUUAUCCGGAUUCACUGGGGUUAAAGGGUGCGUAGGUGGGCAGUUAAGUCAGUGGUGAAAUCUCCGGGCUCAACCCGGAAACUGCCAUUGAUACUAUCUGUCUUGAAUAUCGUGGAGGUAAGCGGAAUAUGUCAUGUAGCGGUGAAAUGCUUAGAUAUGACAUAGAACACCAAUUGCGAAGGCAGCUUACUACCCGAAUAUUGACACUGAGGCACGAAAGCGUGGGGAUCAAACAGG
rnacentral:rRNA from 1 species